rnacentral:rRNA from 1 species
UGGGGAAUAUUGGACAAUGGGCGCAAGCCUGAUCCAGCCAUGCCGCGUGAGUGAUGAAGGCCCUAGGGUUGUAAAGCUCUUUCACCGGUGAAGAUAAUGACGGUAACCGGAGAAGAAGCCCCGGCUAACUUCGUGCCAGCAGCCGCGGUAAUACGAAGGGGGCUAGCGUUGUUCGGAUUUACUGGGCGUAAAGCGCACGUAGGCGGACUAUUAAGUCAGGGGUGAAAUCCCGGGGCUCAACCCCGGAACUGCCUUUGAUACUGGUAGUCUUGAGGUCGAGAGAGGUGAGGUGAAUUCCGAGUGUAGAGGUGAAAUUCGUAGAUAUUCGGAGGAACACCAGUGGCGAAGGCGGCUCACUGGCUCGAUACUGACGCUGAGGUGCGAAAGCGUGGGGAGCAAACAGG